GCUCGUAGUCGGAUGUCGGGCUCGGGGAGGCUGUCGGCCUUUGGUCGGAUGGCAUCUCCGGGCCUUUCUGCCUGGGGAUCCUAUUCUACUUAACUGUAGGGUAGUGGGACGCAGGCCGUUUACUUUGAAAAAAUUAGAGUGUUCAAAGCAGGCCUACGCUUGAAUACAUUAGCAUGGAAUAAUGGAAUAGGACUUUGGUCUUAUUUGUUGGUUUAUGGGACCGAAGUAAUGAUUAACAGGGACAGUUGGGGCCGUUUAUAUUUCGUUGUCAGAGGUGAAAUUCUUGGAUUUACGAAAGAUAAACUUCUGCGAAAGCAUUCGGCAAGGAUGUUUUCAUUGAUCAAGAACGAAAGUUAGGGGAUCGAAGACGAUCAGAUACCGUCGUAGUCUUAACCAUAAACUAUGCCGACUAGGGAUCAGUGGAUGUCAAUUUGCGACUCCUUGGCACCUUGUGAGAAAUCAAAGUUUUUGGGUUCCGGGGGGAGUAUGGUCGCAAGGCUGAAACUUAAAGGAAUUGACGGAAGGGCACCACCAGGAGUGGAGCCUGCGGCUUAAUUUGACUCAACAC
rnacentral:rRNA from 1 species